AAUUUUUGACAAUGGGCGCAAGCCUGAUCCAGCCAGGCCGCGUGAGUGAAGAAGGCCUUCGGGUUGUAAAGCUCUUUCGGACGGAAAGAAAUCGCGCAGGCUAAUACGCUGCGCGGAUGACGGUACCGCCAUAAGAAGCACCGGCUAACAACGUGCCAGCAGCCGCGGUAAGACGUAGGGUGCGAGCGUUAAUCGGAAUUACUGGGCGUAAAGCGUGCGCAGGCGGUUGAUUGAGAAUAGCGUGAAAUCCCCGGGCUUACCCUGGGAACUGCGCUUGUGACUGGUCAGCUAGAGUACGGCAGAGGGAGGUGGAAUUCCAAGUGUAGCAGUGAAAUGCGUAGAGAUGUGGAGGAACACCAAUGGCGAAGGCAGCCCCCUGGGCCGAUACUGUCGCUCAUGCACGAAAGCGUGGGUAGCAAACAGG
rnacentral:rRNA from 1 species